AAGACAUUCAGUUUGAUUCGGUUGAUUUUACUGACCUGAACAAUGUGAGGCAGGGAAUGAAAGCUAACACAAGGAUGAUUUGGAUGGAGUCAAUCACAAAUCCACUGCUCAAUGUGUUAGAAGUUGAAGGAGUUUGCGAAAUUGGACAUUCUCAUCCAAAUGUCAUUGUUGUUGUCGAUAACACAUUUUUAACUUCCUACUAUCAACGUCCAUUAGAACUUGGUGCUGACAUUGUCCUAUACUCUUUAUCAAAAUACCUAGGUGGACAUUCCGACCUAAUUAUGGGAGCUGUUGUGCUGAAUGACCAAAAAAUCUA